rnacentral:rRNA from 1 species
ACGAACGCUGGCGGCGUGCUUAACACAUGCCAGUCGAACGGAAAGGCCCUGCUUUUGUGGGGUGCUCGAGUGGCGAACGGGUGAGUAACACGUGAGUAACCUGCCCUUGACCUUGGGAUAACUUCAGGAAACUGGGGCUAAUACCGGAUAGGAGCUCCUGCUGCAUGGUGGGGGUUGGAAAGUUUCGGCGGUUGGGGAUGGACUCGCGGCUUAUCAGCUUGUUGGUGGGGUAGUGGCUUACCAAGGCUUUGACGGGUAGCCGGCCUGAGAGGGUGACCGGCCACAUUGGGACUGAGAUACGGCCCAGACUCCUACGGGAGGCAGCAGUGGGGAAUAUUGCACAAUGGGCGGAAGCCUGAUGCAGCAACGCCGCGUGCGGGAUGACGGCCUUCGGGUUGUAAACCGCUUUCGCCUGUGACGAAGCGUGAGUGACGGUAAUGGGUAAAGAAGCACCGGCUAACUACGUG